UACGAAGGGUGCAAGCGUUAAUCGGAAUUACUGGGCGUAAAGCGCGCGUAGGUGGUUCAGUAAGUUGGAAGUGAAAUCCCCGGGCUCAACCUGGGAACUGCUUUCAAAACUGCUGAGCUAGAGUACGGUAGAGGGUGGUGGAAUUUCCUGUGUAGCGGUGAAAUGCGUAGAUAUAGGAAGGAGCACCAGUGGCGAAGGCGACCACCUGGACUGAUACUGACACUGAGGUGCGAAAGCGUGGGGAGCAAACAGG
rnacentral:rRNA from 1 species